rnacentral:lncRNA from 1 species
GGGAGUUCAGCAUCUUUCAGGGUAAGGAUUUUUAGAUCUGUACCUUUGUUCCCCAAAGAGGUAAAUGAAUAAUGAAAUCUCCCUGCAGUGUGAACAGCUGAACUUAAUAUAGAGGAAAUUUCUCAAAGAAGUGCCCUGGUGCCUAGCAAAUGUGCCUGUCAAAAAGGGUUGCUCCUUUCUGGGUAUUUGUUUUAGCAAGUCCCAGCCUACAGGAUUACACAGAGUGGCUGAGGAUAGAUUUCUGCUUUAAGCAGGUUUUCAUUUUGUAGCUUUGAAAAUUACACUUUUCAUUAGCAUAAAUGUGACAGCAGAUUAAAGAAUGAAAUUCUAUUUAACAAAAAGAACUUCAAGCUAAUAAUUCUUCAGAUAACCAAGAUACGAAGUUCCAAAGAUCAGCACAAUUUCUUCUAACAGGGUCUCCAUGCAAAGAACAGAAGUCACACUGUGCCUGCCAAAGUCCAGAAGCUUUCCUGCACUGUCAGGCACAUACCAUGUCAAGCAUCCAAGCAGUUGGAGUUGAAAGAAGAAAGAGGGGAGAAGGAACGAAUGACAAGCAGAAUAUAAUUUCAUUAAAGCACACCACUGUGAGAAUUCUCAGCACUGUGAGAGUACAAGGCAGGCUAAUGGGUGAAAUUCAGCCCCACUGCAUAGGGUCAGUCUGGAGGAAGAUCUGCCAUCGACUUCAGCUAGCUGACCCUGACCCCUCCAUCAAUCCAAAGCAGGCUUCAUCUUGAAGUGCCAUCAUUCUUGGCUUUCUUCUGUCAGGAUAGUUCAUAAGUCAGCUGUAGCAAUUUGCUAUUAAUUUGCUUCUCAAUUAUCUCAUAUUAUGAGCAAAUCAUGUACAUGAAAGGAAAAUUAAUAAAUCCUCACACGUCACACUUUGCUUUCUGCUGUUCUUACUGAUUCUUUUUUCUAGCUCCUAUGACUCAGCUCAGUCUGAUCUCUACUUCUGUCUUGUGCAGAGAGCUGCAGACCACACUUCCACAACGCAGCCAACCUACACAGUGUCCUCACUUUCACAAGGAGAUGCUCGUGUAAACACUGGCAUACAAGUAAUCUCCUUUCAUUUUG